rnacentral:rRNA from 1 species
CUGGUCUCAAAUCAGGUAGGACUACCCGCUGAACUUAAGCAUAUCAAUAAGCGGAGGAAAAGAAACUAACAAGGAUUCCUUUAGUAACGGCGAGUGAACCGGGAAAAGCUCAAAUUUGUAAUCUGGCUGUCUUCGAUAGUCCGAGUUGUAAUCUAUAGACGUGUUUUCCGUGCUGGAUCGUAUCUAAGUCCCUUGGAACAGGGUAUCAAAGAGGGUGACAAUCCCGUGCUUGAUACGACGACCAGUGCUCUGUGAUACACGUUCUACGAGUCGAGUUGUUUGGGAAUGCAGCUCAAAAUGGGUGGUAAAUUCCAUCUAAAGCUAAAUAUUGGCGAGAGACCGAUAGCGAACAAGUACCGUGAGGGAAAGAUGAAAAGCACUUUGGAAAGAGAGUUAAACAGUACGUGAAAUUGUUGAAAGGGAAACGAUUGAAGUCAGUCGUGUUCUUCAGAUUCAGCUGGUUCUUCCAGUCUACUUCUGUUGAACGGGUCAACAUCAGUUUUGUCCGGUGGAUAAAGGUAGUAGGAAUGUGACUCCCCCGGGAGUGUUAUAGCCUAUUAUUGCAUACACUGGGUGAGACUGAGGACUGCAGCUCGCCUUUUGGCCGGUCUUCGGACACGUUCGAGCUUAGGAUGUUGACAUAAUGGCUUUAAACGACCCGUCUUGAAACACGGA